CCUACGGGAGGCAGCAGUGGGGAAUCUUGCGCAAUGGGCGAAAGCCUGACGCAGCCAUGCCGCGUGAAUGAUGAAGGUCUUAGGAUUGUAAAAUUCUUUUCACCGGGGGACGAUAAUGACGGUACCCGGAGAAGAAGCCCCGGCUAACUUCGUGCCAGCAGCCGCGGUAAUACGAAGGGGGCUAGCGUUGCUCGGAAUUACUGGGCGUAAAGGGAGCGUAGGCGGAUAGUUUAGUCAGAGGUGAAAGCCCAGGGCUCAACCGUUGGAAUUGCCUUUGAUACUGGCUAUCUUGAGUACGGAAGAGGUAUGUGGAACUCCGAGUGUAGAGGUGAAAUUCGUAGAUAUUCGGAAGAACACCAGUGGCGAAGGCGACAUACUGGUCCGUUACUGACGCUGAGGCUCGAAAGCGUGGGGAGCAAACAGGAUUAGAUACCCUGGUAGUCCACGCUGUAAACGAUGAGUGCUAGUUGUCGGCANNCAUGCAUGUCGGUGCGCGNGCUACGACAUA
rnacentral:rRNA from 1 species